GUGCUCACUUCAGCAGCACAUAUACCAAAAUUGGAAUAAAACAGAGAUGAUUAUCAUGGCCCCUGUGCAAGGAUGACAUGCAAAUUUAUGAAGUGUUCCAUAUUUUC
ensembl:snRNA U6 U6 spliceosomal RNA